CAGAGACCCCAGCUGGUAAGCCGGCUCUUCAGGUACCCAGUUCUCGAGCUGCUGCUCCAAGGCCUCCGGUGUCUGCAGCUAGUGGGCGACCUCACGAUGAUAGCGACAGCAGCCGAGCCUCCCUCCCAGAACUGCCCCGGAUGCAGAGACCCUCUUUACCGGACCUCUCUCGGCCUAACACCACCAGUGGCACCGGAAUGAAGCACAGCUCCUCUGCACCUCCCCCGCCCCCUCCAGGCCGGCGUGCCAACGCGCCCCCUACCCCUCUUCCUCUGCACAGCAACAAAGCCCAAGCCUACAACAGGGAGAAGCCGUUGCCUCCAACACCUGGGCAGAGGGUGCACCCGGGUCGAGAAGGACAUCCUGCUCCACCCCCUGUAAAGCCGCCUCCUUCCCCUG
rnacentral:lncRNA from 1 species